rnacentral:lncRNA from 10 species
CCUUUCUGCCCUCUGCCAUGUGAGGUCACAGUGUUCCUCCCUCCUGAGGAUGCAGUGUUCAUGAAAGCAAACACUGGGCCCUCACCAGGCAACAAACCUGCUGGUGCCUUCAUCUUGGACUUCCCAGCCUUCGGAACUAUGGAGCCCGCACUCUCCAGUUCAUCACCACCCCAGCAUCCCUACUCUUGCAUCUAACAGUUUCCGCUAUUUUGCACCACCUGCCUGGCCCUUAUGGGCAACUCAAGGAAGAAAGGAAAGAAGAGAUAGAGGAAAAAUGGAUUCAACAAAUGAAAGUGUUCUUUCUGACUACUGCUGUGUUUACAAACAUUUUAAUCAUCAAAACAUGCUUUAUUUGAUAGAAAGAUCAAAUCUGCCUUUGUAAAACAAGAGACUAUUUUAAUCAUUAAGACAACACACAUGUUUGAUUUGGAGGCGUGUUCUCAUUCAAAACCUUGCAAAAUAUAAUUUCUUCUUGUCUGGGAGAUGGUGUCUUUCUUCGGGGAGAACCUUGAGAGAAAUGUCUAUGAAUGUGUCUGUAGAUUGAGGAUAGGCCGUUAAGAAGCUCCACUGCGCUUUGUCCAUUGCAAGUUGAGAAGUGAGGCCCCAGCUGUCACAUACAGUGAGUGAAGAAGCUGAGCUUCCCUCAACGCCUGGGCCUGUAUGAAUUUUUUUUUUUUUUUUUUUUUUGGAGACGGAGUCUCACUUUGUUGCCCAGGCUGGAGUGCAAUGGCACUAUCUCAGGCCACUGCAACCUCUGCCUCCCAGGUUCAAGCGAUUCUUCUGCCUCAGCCUCCUGAGUAGCUGGGAUUACAGAAGUGCACCAUUACAGCUUGCUAAUUUUUGUAUUUUUAGUAGAGAAGGGUUUUCACCAUGUUGGCCAGGUUGGUCUCGAACUCUUGGCCUCAGGUGAUCCGCCCGCACAGCCUCCCAAAGUGUUGGGAUUACAGGCGUGAGCCACUGCGCCCGGCCUUAGGUAAGUUCCUUUUUUUUUUUUUUUGAGACGGAGUUUCACUCUGUUGCCCAGGCUGGGGUGCAAUGGCAUGAUCUCGGCUCACCGCAACCUCUGCCUCCUGGGUUCAAGCAAUUCUCCUGCCUCAGCCUCCUGAGGAGCUGGGAUUACAGGCAUGCACCAUCAUGCCCGGCUAAUUUUGUAUUUUUAGUAGAGACGGGGUUUCUCCAUGUUGAGGCUGGUCUCAAACUCCUGACCUCAGGUGAUUCACCCGCCUCGGCCUCCCAAACUGCUGGGAUUAUAGGCAUAAGCCACCGCGCCCGGCCUUAGGCUCCAUCACAAGAGGGAGCCCCAUUGCUAGUCCCCAUCCUCAAAGCCUCUGCGUGAUGUUGUCUACUGUUACUCUUCACUACCCUGUGGGAGCCAAAGCCCUGGACAUAAGAACAGAAGGCAAGCAGUGGUGGCUGAGAGGAAGAACUGACACCUUUGUGCUAUCAGAGCACUUUGCAGAGGAGCUGUUAGUGGCCCUGUAGGAGUCUGCUGGCCAUACAUCUGGGUGUCAAAUCAAGAGAGCAUGAGAAGUUGGACAGGAAAGGUCCAAGGCAAAAUGGUUACUAAAGGCCAUCCCUGAUCCUGACCCUAAAAGAAGAAAAGGCCCUUUGCUCUUGGCAUGCUUUUGCAGGAGUGUCUCAGUCUGUUUGGGCUGCUAUAACAUUGACUGGGUGAUCUGCCUGCCUGGCCUCCCAAAGUGCUGGGGUUACAGGUGUGAGCCGCUGCACCAGGCCUUGAGGUCAGGAGUUCGAGACCAGCCUGGCCAACAUGGUGAAACCUGUCUUUACUAAAAAUACAGAAAUUAGCCAGGCAUGGAGGCGCAUGCCUGUAAUCCCAGCUACUGGGGAGGCUGAGGCAGGAGAAUCGCUUGAACCCAGAAGGUGGAGGUUGCGGUGAGCCCAGAUAGUGCCAUUGCACUCUAGCCUGGCCAACAAGAGUGAAACUCUGUCUCAAAAAAUAAAUAAACAAACAAACAAACAACAAC